GAUGAACGCUGGCGGCGUGCCUAAUACAUGCAAGUCGAGCGAACAGACGAGGAGCUUGCUCCUCUGACGUUAGCGGCGGACGGGUGAGUAACACGUGGAUAACCUACCUAUAAGACUGGGAUAACUUCGGGAAACCGGAGCUAAUACCGGAUAACAUGUUGAACCGCAUGGUUCAACAGUGAAAGACGGUCUUGCUGUCAUUUAUAGAUGGAUCCGCGCCGCAUUAGCUAGUUGGUAAGGUAACGGCUUACCAAGGCAACGAUGCGUAGCCGACCUGAGAGGGUGAUCGGCCACACUGGAACUGAGACACGGUCCAGACUCCUACGGGAGGCAGCAGUAGGGAAUCUUCCGCAAUGGGCGAAAGCCUGACGGAGCAACGCCGCGUGAGUGAUGAAGGUCUUCGGAUCGUAAAACUCUGUUAUUAGGGAAGAACAAAUGUGUAAGUAACUAUGCACGUCUUGACGGUACCUAAUCAGAAAGCCACGGCUAACUACGUG
rnacentral:rRNA from 1 species